GAUGAAGAACGCAGCGAAAUGCGAUACUUGGUGUGAAUUGCAGAAUCCCGUGAACCAUCGAGUCUUUGAACGCAAGUUGCGCCCGAAGCCACUAGGCCGAGGGCACGCCUGCCUGGGCGUCACACGUCGUUGCCCCCCCAUCUACUCCUUCGGGAUUGCGGGGGGCGGAUGAUGGCCUCUCGUGCGCCUCGUCGCGCGGUUGGCCUAAAUGCCAAGUCCUCGGCGACGCACGCCACGACAAUCGGUGGUUGCGAAACCUCGGUUGCCUGUCGUGUGCGGUCGUCGCGCAUCGAGGGCUCGAAAAAAUUGCCGGGCUUCGGCUCGACUUUCAACGCGACCCCAGGUCAGGCGGGGUUACCCGCUGAAUUUAAGCAUAUCAAUAAGCGGAGGA
rnacentral:misc_RNA from 1 species